rnacentral:rRNA from 1 species
UACGUAGGGCGCAAGCGUUGUCCGGAAUUAUUGGGCGUAAAGAGCUCGUAGGCGGCUUGUCACGUCGGAUGUGAAAGCCCGGGGCUUAACUCCGGGUCUGCAUUCGGUACGGGCUGGCUAGAGUGUGGUAGGGGAGAUCGGAAUUCCUGGUGUAGCGGUGAAAUGCGCAGAUAUCAGGAGGAACACCGGUGGCGAAGGCGGGUCUCUGGACAGUUCCUGACGCUGAGGCACGAAGGCCAGGGGAGCAAACGGG